rnacentral:rRNA from 1 species
AUUGAACGCUGGCGGCAUGCCUUACACAUGCAAGUCGAACGGCAGCACGGGUGCUUGCACCUGGUGGCGAGUGGCGAACGGGUGAGUAAUAUAUCGGAACGUACCUUAUCGUGGGGGAUAACGCAGCGAAAGUUACGCUAAUACCGCAUACGCACUGAGGUGGAAAGCAGGGGAUCGCAAGACCUUGCGCUAUACGAGCGGCCGAUGUCAGAUUAGCUAGUUGGUAGGGUAAAGGCCUACCAAGGCGACGAUCUGUAGCGGGUCUGAGAGGAUGAUCCGCCACACUGGGACUGAGACACGGCCCAGACUCCUACGGGAGCAGCAGUGGGGAAUUUUGGACAAUGGGCGAAAGCCUGAUCCAGCCAUGCCGCGUGAGUGAAGAAGGCCUUCGGUUGUAAACUGUCUUUUGUACGUAGAACGAAAAGCUCUGGUUAAUACCUGGGCUCAUGACGGUACUGUAAGAAUAAGCACCGGCUAACUACGUGCCAG